rfam:Ornithorhynchus anatinus chromosome X1, whole genome shotgun sequence.
AGCAGCGUGGUUCAGUGGAAAGAACCUGGGCUCGGGAGUCAGAGGUCAUGGGUUCAAAUUCCGCCUCUGCCA